rnacentral:rRNA from 1 species
CACGUAGGCGGUCUUUUAAGUCAGGGGUGAAAUCCUGGAGCUCAACUCCAGAACUGCCUUUGAUGCUGAGAGACUUGAGUCCGGGAGAGGUGAGUGGAACUGCGAGUGUAGAGGUGAAAUUCGUAGAUAUUCGCAAGAACACCAGUGGCGAAGGCGGCUCACUGGCCCGGUACUGACGCUGAGGUGCGAAAGCGUGGGGAGCAAACA